UACGUAGGCAGCGAGCGUUGUUCGGAGUUACUGGGCGUAAAGAGUGCGUAGGCGGUUUUCUAAGUUUGGUGUGAAAUCUCCCGGCUCAACUGGGAGGGUGCGCCGAAGACUGGAAGGCUUGAGUAUGGGAGAGGUAAGCGGAAUUCCUGGUGUAGCGGUGAAAUGCGCAGAUAUCGGGAGGAACACCAAUGGCGAAGGCGAGCUC
rnacentral:rRNA from 1 species